CUUCACAUUGUUGGUGCAUU
rnacentral:snRNA from 1 species